rnacentral:lncRNA from 1 species
AACGCCUUCGAAAAUGCCCAAUGGGCUAUACUUUCAUAGUUCAUAACGAAAUGGAUUGCUAACCGUGCUGAGCGAUUAUGUGCCUGUAUGUGUUUGCUGGCUUAACAAUUGAGCCACACGUUUGCUCGCAAACACCUUCAGAUGAAUGGGCAGUGUGCUGAAUCUGUCUAGUUCAUAAUGAAAUGGAUUGCUAACGCUGCAAUGCUGCGUGGGAACAUAAAUUGCAUCGUAACAGUUAAUUGACAUUUUUCUACUGUACCUGCUGGCAAAGAUGUUUUGUUUUACAGGACCUGCUGUCAAAGAUGUUGACAAAACUUGGUCAUAGAACUGUAAUCAUCUGAUUGCUUUAUAAUCCAAUGCCCAUAGCAUAUUCCCAUUGUUAGUAAGAACGAUAUCUGUACCAAACCAACGGUUUACUCAAAUAGCAGUACUUGUAGUUCUAUGAAUUCCACAUGUGAAGAGCCAUUUACUACUCAACAUUGUUUAGUUUGUGCAAUGAAAUUCUUGCUAUGGUGAUCUUAUUCAUAUCAUUGCCAACUUCUGCAAGUUGUUUUACCCUUUGUUCUUGCUGGAGGAUUAAUACAUAAGUUUUUUUUGUGUGUUAGCAGUUUGCAAUCUGUCAUACUGUUUCUGCUGUUUAUUGAUGCCUAAAUAUGGGCUCUGCAAUAGUUAACUGUUAUUUAAACUAUACUAUUUGUAAUUCUGAUGCAGGCUUUUCUUCGGCUGAAACACUUGUUCCACGGAACCAAGAUGCUGGGUUGGCUGAACUCCCAGCCACUGUUGCUGCACUGAAGAACCCCAACUCAAAAAUCCUUUAUGACCAGUACAACCAUGAAAGAUAUCCUCCUGGAGAUCCCAGCAAGCGUGCCUUUGCCUACUUUGUUCUGAGUGGUGGGAGAUUCGUAUAUGCAUCACUGCUGCGUCUCCUUGUCUUGAAGUUUGUCUUGAGCAUGUCAGCAAGUAAGGAUGUGCUUGCACUUGCUUCCCUUGAGGUUGAUCUAUCCAGCAUUGAACCCGGCAGCACAGUGACUGUCAAGUGGCGUGGAAAGCCAGUCUUCAUCAGGCGACGGACAGAUGAUGACAUCAAGCUGGCCAACAGCGUGGAUGUUGCAUCCUUGCGCCACCCAGAGCAAGACGCUGAGCGUGUGAAGAACCCAGAGUGGCUGGUUGUUAUUGGGGUCUGCACUCAUCUUGGUUGCAUUCCCCUUCCCAACUCUGGAGACUUUGGUGGCUGGUUCUGCCCGUGCCAUGGCUCCCACUAUGACAUCUCUGGCAGAAUCCGCAAGGGCCCUGCCCCGUACAACCUUGAGGUGCCCACCUACAGUUUCUUGGAAGAUAACAAGAUGCUCAUAGGCUAAGAGCCUAAAACCAGUACCUACCGACAUAUAUUCUCGACAGGAGUGAAUUCCUGUUGCGCUGUUAUUUUGUUUUCAAUGUGGCUAGGAGUUUUUGUUUCAGGACUAUCGCAACGGUGAUCCACUGUUACCUACUGAAGUUCAUUUGCAGUGCGAAAUAAUUGUUUCUCCUAUGUUGCUACUGGAUUGUAAGUUGUUUUAUACUGAUUUUCUGAGACCCUAUCGGAAGGAUAUUGUAUACCUCUUCUGGUCCUUGCUCCCUAUAUAUUUGAUAAAUAAGCAAACAUACUAUUCUUCAUCUUUUGUGUCUAUAACAAUGUUAUUCAUUCAAGUUCCCGAAUGUUGUAUGUGUGAUCUAACUUCAGGAACUUCUAUGUUGAUUCUAAUGAUCCUUGACAUUGUGAUGCGCUG